UAGGCGAUAGGUCAAUUCAUAGGUCAAUUUACAUUUUGAUUAUUCUGCAAACCGCAUAAAUACAAUAAGAAAAGGACUUGAACUGACGGACUCUGACUCCGUCAUCUCAAGGUUCGAAUCCUUGUAGCCCAG
rnacentral:tRNA from 1 species